AAAAAGAUAAACCCUAAGUUUCCGUGUCUAACGUUUGAAUGUCCGUCUUAUAUGAAAUUUUUUUAUAAUUAGUAUUUUCAUGGUUGUUAGAUGAUAAAACAUGAUAAUAUUUUAAGCGCGACUUGUCUUUUUUUUUAUAUUUUUUUAAAUAAGACGGACGGUUAAACGUUUAACACGGAAACCUAUGAUUUAUUUUAUU
rfam:Oryza barthii chromosome 8, whole genome shotgun sequence.